rnacentral:tRNA from 1 species
GGACAUUUAGCUCAGCGGUUAGAGCAACCGGCUCAUAACCGGUCGGUCCUGGGUUCGAACCACAGAAUGUUCA